rnacentral:lncRNA from 1 species
CCCAGCCCAACCCAACCCAACCCAACCCAACUCAUUCCCUGUUUCCAUCUGCACUCACCUCGUGCUGCAAAGCCUUGAAGGAGAGGCAAACCCAGCCUGCCCUGGCAGGGUUUGUGGUGGCUGGAGCUGUGACAAGGACGGCGCUGAGCUCACAGGCAGCACCAGUGACUCACGGAGAGAGACAACACGAGGCCGAUGGUGAGGCUGGAAUAUCAGGGAAUAUUUGUCAGCAAAUUCCUUAUCAGAGACACCUCGGGGUGUACAACAACAGCUGCUUCCCCUAAUAAAGCUGUAUUCAUCAGUGUCACCAACCAGCUGAGAACAGAGCGACACAUCUUCCUAUUCCAUCCUCGUUAACCGCUUCUGUUAGAGAGGAGGAUUGGAAACUUGGGUGCAAUGCAGGAACACUGGAAUCCACAUUAUUUAAUCCCACAGUUGGCCAAAUAAAUGGAUUAUGAGAAGAGGAAGAGGAAGAAGGAAAAUUUUGGUGGUUGGCACAUGGGCACCAUCCUCCUCUUCCUGCAGGAAGGACCCAGACCUGCUCAGGAAAGGACACAAACUGAUCCCUUCCCUUCAAAAUCUGCUCCAGUUGCCUUUCCCUAAUGAGUACAGGUUAUUCCUUUAACCUAUAAUGUUUGGAUAGCAGAA